AUGCUAGUGCUAAAACAUGUCACUAGCUUCGUAUAUAGGUCACUAAAACCUUUAAUAAAGUUUGGUUCCAAGUUGUUAUACCAACCACAUGUAGAUCCUAUAAAGGUUGAAGGGAAUAUUUUGCACAUUGAGUUAUAGUCUUGGAUGAUCAACUCUAAGCUACUGUGCACAUUUUGCACAUGCUCCCCUGAGUCGGCCAAGUUGUCAUAGUUGUCUAAACUCAUAUUCAUAGAAAAGUAGUCUUUAAGGAGUUGAGUUUUCAAUAUGUGCUUGGAUAAAUGAGAAACCCUCUACUGAUAGGGAC
rnacentral:lncRNA from 1 species